GGUGGUUGCUAGUGUGUUGCUGUGCAGUUGCUAGGUUGUUCUAGGUGGUUGCUAGCGUGUUGCUAAGCAGUUUCUAAGGUGAUCUGAGUG